CUUGGUUCCCAUAACGAUGAAGAACGCAGCGAAGUGCGAUAAGCAGUGCGAAUUGCAGAACCGUGAGUCAUCAGAUCUUUGAACGCAACUGGCGCCGAUUGGCUCUCCAGUCGGCAUGCUUGUUUCAGUGUCUCGUUAUCUCCUCACCCAAAUCUUAAUGCUUGAGAUGCCCUUCUCUUGCGAAGUAUGAAAGCACUCUGCAAUCUGCAGGCGAUCUCGACUUGUCGAGGGUCGCACUCAAUGCAGCAGUCACAUUGUUCACAGUGUGAACUCAUUGAGAGUGGAAGCAGCGCAGCUAGUCUGCCAGUGCUUAGUUAUCCAAACUUCACUGUCAUCUGAAAUCAAGCAGGACCACCCGCUGAACUUAAGCAUAUCACUAAGCGGAGGAAAAGAAAUUAACUAAGAUUGCCUCAGUAACGGCGAGUGAAGCGGCAAAAGCCCAAACUGGAAAUCUUCACACUGUGUGUGACGAAUUGUAAUCUAAAGGUGGGAAGCUUACCUGGCCGUGGCGCAGAAGUUCCUUAGAACGGGACGCCAGAGAGGGUGACAGCCCCGUAUGUGGUGCCGCGGCCUACCUAGCUCCUUUCUACGAGUCGGGUUGUUUUGAAUUGCAGCCCUAAGCGGGAGAUAGACUUCUUCUAAGGCUAAAUAUAUAUGGGAAACCGAUAGCGAACAAGUACUGUGAAGGAAAGAUGAAAAGAACUUUGAAAAGAGAGUCAAAAGACUUGAAAUCGUUGAGAAGGAAGCGGUAGAAAUUUAUUCUUCGGCUGAGAACGAUGGUGUUUGCCUAACCAUUGGGGCUUGUCAGCACUGCAAAGGCUGCGGGCUCCACCUGGGGAAGUGAUAGCUGGGUUCUCAGUCGUGAGGCAAAAUGAGGUGCUGCAUCCACAAAAGCUUGGGGUCCAGGAUUUUCCACAGUCCCCUGUGCUGGUGGGCGCAGCGCCUGAGGGUGCUUCGUGCGAUUUUGCUAAAAUGGUUUUUACCGACCCGUCUUGAAACACGGACCAAGGAGUCUAACAUAUAUGCGAGUGUGCUGGCGGAAAAACCAACACGCGUAAUGAAAGUGAUCGAUGCCAAGCUUUAGCAGCAGCAUCGGCCGACCAUGAUCCUCAGGUGAAAGGUUUGAGUAUGAGCAUAUCUGUUAGGACCCGAAAGAUGGUGAACUAUGCCUGGGUAGGGUGAAGCCAGGGGAAACUCUGGUGGAGGCUCGUAGCGGUUCUGACGUGCAAAUCGAUCGUCAAACUUGGGUAUAGGGGCGAAAGACUAAUCGAACCAUCUAGUAGCUGGUUCCCUC
rnacentral:misc_RNA from 1 species